rnacentral:snRNA from 1 species
GGAUGUGAGGGCAAUCUGGCUGCAACAUCUGUCACCCCACUGAUCUCCAGGGUUGAUUGAACUGAUCUGGCUGGCUAGGCGGGUGUCCCCUUCCUCCUUCACUGCUCCACGUCUGUCCCUCCCGAAGCUGCAUGCUCAGUCCAAGAGGACGACCUUCCCCAAUAGAGGAGAGGACUGUUCUUCAGUCAAGAGUAUAUGAGUAGCUGUGCUCUUCUGCUAGAACUUCCAAACAAAACUGGGAGAACGGAAUCCAUUUUAACAUUUUCUUAUAUCAGGAUGAGGAUUUCAUUCAUG